rnacentral:sRNA from 2 species
UGAAAAUAAUAGCCGAAUCCGUAAAAGGUACGGGGGAACCUAUAUGAAGGGGUGAAUCCAUAACAAAAUUAUGGUAGGGCAGCUUCCUUUCCCGAACCCGUCAGCUAACCCCGGAGGCUAAAGGAAGGAGAAAA